AUUGAACGCUGGCGGCAGGCCUAACACAUGCAAGUCGAACGAGUGGCGGACGGGUGAGUAAUGUUUGGGAAACUGCCCGCUGGAGGGGGAUAACUACUGGAAACGGUAGCUAAUACCGCAUACCAUCGGAUGUUCCCAGAUGGGAUUAGCUAGUAGGUGGGGUAAUGGCUCACCUAGGCGACGAUCCCUAGCUGGUCUGAGCUGAUGACCAGCCACACUGGAACUGAGACACGGUCCAUACUCCUACGGUAGGCAGCAGUGGGGAAGAUUGCACAAUUGGCGCUAGCCUGAUGCGGCCAUGGCGCGUGUAUGAAGAAGGCCUUCGGGUUGUAAAGGACUUUCAGCGGGGAGGCGGUACCCGCAGAAGAAGCACCGGCUAACUCCGUGCCAGCCGCCGCGGUAAUAC
rnacentral:rRNA from 1 species